UACAGAGGGGGCAAGCGUUGUUCGGAAUUACUGGGCGUAAAGGGCGCGUAGGCGGCCUGCUAAGUCGAACGUGAAAUCCCCGGGCUUAACCUGGGAAUGGCAUUUGGGACUGCAAGGCUUGAGUGCGGCAGAGGAGACUGGAAUUCCUGGUGUAGCAGUGAAAUGCGUAGAUAUCAGGAGGAACACCGAUGGCGAAGGCAGGUCUCUGGGCUGACACUGACGCUCAUGCACGAAAGCGUGGGGAGCAAACAGG
rnacentral:rRNA from 1 species